AGCUGCGCCUCCAAGGAAGAAAGUCCAACCAUCAAGCUUGAGAAAACUAUUCGCCUCCCCUUCACUAAGAUUUUCCAGGGGCAGAGAGAAUCUGGAAGGAAUACAAUGCCUUUAAAUCUUUUAAGCUUAGAGGCUUACCAAAGAAAUGGGUACCCAGUGAUAGAAGAGGUCAAGUGCUGUGCUGUACUGAUUGAUACAUUGUCUCCAGAAGGAAGUGUGACAAUGGACAACCUACAAGCAGAUGUGCCUGAAAUGAAGAAGUCUGCAGCAGAGCCUCCACUUGACCUAUGAUAGA